rnacentral:lncRNA from 1 species
UGAUAAUAAUAAAGAAAAACAUCAUCCAGAUUAAUAAUCCAAACAUCCCAGAUAAUUACAAAAGAUAAAUCUAGAGAAGAGAAGAAGAAACUCUGAAUUUGCUCCAAUUCUCUCUCCUUGAUCUUCAGCCUUUGCAAUUCUCCUUCGUGUUUUUCUUCGUUGUUCUCUCUGCAAAUCUCUUGAAAAAUUAAGUGAUACGUCAUUUCUAAAGUCUUCUCCUAUUUGUAUUAGUCUC